rnacentral:rRNA from 1 species
UUCGCCCUUUUACCGGUGCGGGCCGUGAGAGCGGGAGCCCGGAGAUGGGCACUGAGACAAGGGCCCAGGCCCUACGGGGCGCAGCAGUCGCGAAAACUCCGCAAUGCGCGAAAGCGUGACGGGGCUACCCCGAGUGCCAUCCGCUGAGGAUAGCUUUUCCCAGGUGUAAUGAGCCGGGGGAAUAAGGAGAGGGCAAGUCUGGUGUCAGCCGCCGCGGUAAUACCAGCUCUCCGAGUGGUAGGGACGAUUAUUGGGCUUAAAGCGUCCGUAGCCGGCUUAGCAAGUCUCCUGUUAAAUUCAGCGACCUAAUCGUUGAGCCGCGGGAGAUACUACUAGGCUAGGAGGCGGAAGAGGCCGACGGUAUUCUCGGGGUAGGGGUGAAAUCCUAUAAUCCCGGGAGGACCACCAGUGGCGAAGGCUGUCGGCUAGAACGCGCCCGACGG